rnacentral:rRNA from 1 species
UACGUAGGUGGCAAGCGUUGUCCGGAUUUACUGGGCGUAGAGAGCGCGCAGGCGGUCGUUCAAGUCGCGUGUGAAAGCCCCCGGCUCAACUGGGGAGGGUCACGCGAUACUGGUCGACUCGAAGGCAGGAGAGGGUAGUGGAAUUCCCGGUGUAGUGGUGAAAUGCGUAGAUAUCGGGAGGAACACCAGUGGCGAAGGCGACUACCUGGCCUGUUUCUUGACGCUGAGGCGCGAAAGCUAGGGGAGCAAACGGG